CACGUAGGGGGGCAAGCGUUGUCCGGAUUUAUUGGGCGUAAAGAGCUCGUAGGUGGCUCGGUAAGUCGGGUGUGAAAUUUCGAGGCUCAACCUCGAGACGCCACCUGAUACUGCUGUGGCUAGAGUCCGGUAGGGGAGUGUGGAAUUCCUGGUGUAGCGGUGAAAUGCGCAGAUAUCAGGAGGAACACCGGUGGCGAAGGCGGUUCUCUGGGAAUGACCUGACGCUGAGGAGCGAAAGUGUGGGGAGCGAACAGG
rnacentral:rRNA from 1 species